rnacentral:rRNA from 1 species
GUGGGGAAUAUUGGACAAUGGGGGAAACCCUGAUCCAGCAAUGCCGCGUGAGUGAAGAAGGCCUUAGGGUUGUAAAGCUCUUUCGCCCGCGAAGAUAAUGACGGUAGCGGGAGAAGAAGCCCCGGCUAACUCCGUGCCAGCAGCCGCGGUAAUACGGAGGGGGCUAGCGUUGUUCGGAAUUACUGGGCGUAAAGCGUACGUAGGCGGAUGCGCAAGUUGGGGGUGAAAUCCCGGGGCUUAACCUCGGAAUUGCCCUCAAAACUGCACGUCUUGAGACCGAGAGAGGUAAGUGGAAUUCCUAGUGUAGAGGUGAAAUUCGUAGAUAUUAGGAAGAACACCAGUGGCGAAGGCGCCUUACUGGCUCGGUACUGACGCUGAGGUACGAAAGCGUGGGGAGCAAACA